rnacentral:rRNA from 1 species
GACGAACGCUGGCGGCGUGCUUAACACAUGCAAGUGGAGCGACGAACCAGGCUUCGGCCUGGGGCAAAGCCGCGAACGGGUGAGUAACACGUGGGUAACCUGCCCCGAUGACCGGGAUAACCCGAGGAAACUCGGGCUAAUACCGGAUGUGCUGCACGGCCUCAAGGCCGUGUAGCAAAGGAAGCUUCGGCCUCCGCAUUGGGAGGGGCCCGCGGCCCAUUAGCUUGUUGGUGAGGUAAAGGCUCACCAAGGCAACGAUGGGUAGCUGGUCUGAGAGGACGAUCAGCCACACUGGGACUGAGACACGGCCCAGACUCCUACGGGAGGCAGCAGUGGGGAAUCUUGCGCAAUGCGCGAAAGCGUGACGCAGCAACGCCGCGUGAGGGAAGACGGCCU